rnacentral:tRNA from 1 species
GUUUCUAUAGUUGAAAUACAACGAUGGUUUUUCAUAUCAUUAGUCCUGGUUAAAGUCCGGGUGGAAAUU